GGCUCUGUGAAGGCCUCCUAGGCGCAGCGCUUCGUUCCUGCGCCGGUGGGGUGGCCGUUUUGAGUCGUGCACUAGGGACCUUGAAGGCUAGGGUGCGGCUUCUCCUCUGCAGACACUGAGCUGCGAGUACUUGGCUCUCCCUCUUCUCUCCCUCUAUGACCCGAACCUGGGAGCCUGUCCAGCUGCAUGCGCUCCGUCGAAUUUCCCCUAGUAGGAACCAGUUUUCCUCGGCAGGUACUUUUCUGCCAGAAGCCGGUCAGCGUCGCAUUUGGACUCUCCCAUGGAAUCUGGACUAAAGCCUGCCGACCUCACCCAGCUCUACAUAGCCCUGUGAUGAGCAGCAGCUUCUGAGUCAGAACUCUGCAGGAGUCUCGCGGAAGAAUGCAUAUUUAGCUCUGGUCCCGUAGAAGGAACAUCCAAACUCAGUGCUGGAAGAAGGUAUUUGAAUUGACGAUCUAUGAUAUUGUCCUUAGAGACAACAGAAGAAUUUCUUUAUUCAAUAAAUAUCAGCAUCUAGUGCAUGCUGGUCACUGUCGAGAUGCAGCAGGACAAAAAAGACAAGGUCAGCCUACGUGGGAGGAAUGAGGAGUGGCCAAUGUGUUGUUUAGAAUGUUGUAAAUAUUUGCUGUUUCAAAAAGAGUUGAUAGGGACUGUUAGAUGAAAAGCUUACUCUCCACUCAAGGAAGUGAAAAGACAACCUGCGGAAUGGGAGAAAAUAUUUGCAAUUCAUAUAUCCAAUAAAGUCUGGUAACCAGAAUAUAUAAAGAACUCUUACAACUCAGCAACAAAAACAUGAAAAACACAACUAAAAAGUGAACAAAGAAUCUGAAUAGAUAUUUCUUCAAAAAAAAUAUGCAAGUGGUCAGCAAGCAUAUGAAAAGAUGUCCAACAACAAUCGUUACUAGGGAAAUGCAAAUCCAAACUACAAUGAGACUCCAUUUUACAUACACUAGGCUAGCUAUAACAGAAAAUAUGGAAAAUAACAAAUGUUAGCCAGGAAGUGGAGAAAAUGGAACUCUCUGGGCUCCUGGGUGGCUCAGUUGGUUAAGCGUCUGACUUAAGCUCAGGUCAUGAUCUCACGGUUUGGGAGUUUGAGCCCUGCAUUGGCUGUGCACUGAUAGGGUGUAGCCCGCUUGGAAUUCUCUCUCUCUCCCCCACCCCCUCAAAAUAAACAAAUAAAAAUAAAUAAAUAAAGUGGAACUCUCAUACAUGGUUGGUGAGAAUGUGAAAAGGCACAAACCACUUUGGGAAACUGUUUUGCAGCUCCUUAAGUUACCACCUACUGGAUAUCCAUAUGCAAAAGAGCAGUUACACUUUUUGGGUACCUGGGUGGCUCAGUGGGUUAAGCAUCAGACUCUUGGUUUCGGCUCAGGUUAUGAUCUCACAGUUCCUGGUUUCAGCUCAGGUGGUGAUCUUCCUGAGUUCAAGCCCCACAUCGGGGUCUGUUCAAACAGUGCAGAGCUGGGGCGCCUGGGUGGCUCAGUCGGUUAAGUGGCCGACUUCGGCCCAGGUCAUGAUCUCGCGGUCCGUGAGUUCGAGCCCCGCGUCGGGCUCUGUGCUGACAGCUCAGAGCCUGGAGCCUGUUUCAGAUUCUGUGUCUCCCUCUCUCUGACCCUCCCCUGUUCAUGCUUUGUCUCUCUCUGUCUCAAAAAUAAAUAAACGUUAAUAAAAAAAAAUUAAAAAACAAAACAAAACAGUGCAGAGCCUGCUUGGGAUUCUUUCUGUCUCCCUCUCUCUGCCCCUCCCUUGCUUGUGCUCUCUCACUCUCUCUCUAAAAAAAAAAAAAAAAAAAAAAGAGCAAUUCCACUUUGAGAUUUAUACCCAAAGAGAAAGAACCACCAGAUGGCACUGUUAUUUUAAAAUUCAGAAUUCUAUAAAGCAAAAUGUUAAUUUAUUAACAAUAUUAUGGUAUAAUAUAAUCUGACUUGCAUUAAGGCAAAAAUAGCAUGAAGAGCUACAGGGCUCCCAUAAAGGGGAAAUAGGAUGUAUAAAUUUUAAAUUCCUUAAAGAAAAUACUUUGUAUAAUUAAAAAACAGGAUGUGAUAUUCUAGGGGCUCCUGGGUGGCUCAGUUGGUUAAGCAUCCGACUUCAGCUCAGAUCACAGUCUCACAGUUCAAGAGUUUGAGCCCUGCAUUGGGCUCUGUGCUGACAGCUCAGAGCCUGGAGCCUGCUAAGGAUUCUGUGUCUCCCUCUCUGUGCUGCUCCCCCACUCAUGCUCUGUCUCUCUCUGUUUCAAAAAUAAACAUAAAAAAAAUUUUUUUAAUAAAAAAUAAACAGGAUGUGAUAUCCUAAUUCAUCUUUUAUUAUUUAAAUUAAUUACUAAUUAGUUACUUUUACCAACAUUAAGAAGUAAUUUUCAAACACAUGGGAAGUUGAAAAUGCAUACUUAAAUUGAAAAAUUAAAAGACAUGACACUGAGAACAACUUUAAUCUUAAGUUAUUAAGGACUCUUCUAACCCUAUGUUGCAUAAGAAUAUAUAUUUUUAAGUGUGUAAUGCAGUAACAUUCAUGUUUGUUGGCCACAUCCACAUAAAGAAAGAUAUUUUCAUCCAGAUCCAGUAAACACAAUUUUCUAUUUUAUUGAAUCUAUUAUAUUCUAUCAUAUUAAGCAGAUCAUAACUUACUAAAUUAUUUUGAUGACUCCAGUGGAUCAUAGCCUACUGUUUGGAAAACACAGUUUCAGUGUGUUAUAAUUUACCAUUGUGAUUUUUCAACUUGCCUUUUAAGAUAUUUAGCCUUCUCCAGUCAAAUAUAAAAUUACUAAUUAAUGGUCAGAGGCCAAGAACACAAUGCAGAUGCUUUCAAUGGCUUUGGAAGAGUCAGGGCUCUUGAAACUUUCCAUUUCCUUCACCCACAGGACAGCUCACCCUGGUCCAGGUUAAACAGGGGAAGUCCCUGGGAUUUUGAGGGUAUGGCAGCUCCUCUGACAAUGUACCAAAUCUUCCCCCAUUGGACCGGUAGAAGUAACUUCUGUUGCUCAAAGAAUUAUUACUAGUCGCUAUUUUACUAGUAACUGUUGGAUAUUAACCUCAAUGCUGUAUUUUAAUGUCUUUAUCUUUCUGAUGACUACACCAAUCUAGAGAAUGUGAAAAUUUCCCUCUAAUACCAUCCUUCAGAGAUAAUCAUUAACAGUUUGGCAUGUUUCCUUUAAGACUUUGAAAUUUUUAUAUAGGUUUUGAUCAUUUGUAAAUCAUAGGGGAGAUUGUUUUGGAAACUGUUUUUGUUUUACUUAAUAUAUCAUAGACAUCUUUACAAGCUUACAACUAACGGUUUACCUUGACUUUUUAAAAAGAGGUACAUAGUUUUCUUUUAUAUAAAUAUACUGAAAUUAAUUUUAUCAUUCUCAUUUGUGAUGGACAUUUUGUCUCAACAUCAUCCCUGUUAUAAACAGUCUUGCAAUAAAAGCUUCUGUGCAUGCA